CAAACGGCCCUUUUCAGGGCCACCAUAAGCUUUCCACAAAUGGCG
rfam:Trachymyrmex zeteki contig8956, whole genome shotgun sequence.